rnacentral:rRNA from 1 species
ACUCCUACGGGAGGCAGCAGUGGGGAAUAUUGCACAAUGGGCGCAAGCCUGAUGCAGCCAUGCCGCGUGAUGUAGCAAGAAUGGGCCUUUCGGGUUGAUAAAGCACUUUUCAGUCGUGAGGAAGGUGAGUGUAGUUAAUAGCUGCAUUUAUUUGACGUUAGCGAACAGAAGAAGCACCGGCUAACUCCGUGCCAGCAGCCGCGGUAAUACGGAGGGUGCGAGCGUUAAUCGGAAUUACUGGGCGUAAAGCGCAUGCAGGUGGUUUGUUAAGUCAGAUGUGAAAGCCCGGGGCUCAACCUCGGAAUUGCAUUUGAAACUGGCAAGACUAGAGUACUGUAGAGGGGGGUAGAAUUUCAGGUGUAGCGGUGAAAUGCGUAGAGAUCUGAAGG